rnacentral:lncRNA from 1 species
CUCAGGUGCCACUCAAAAUUAUGACCUCGCAAUAUGGAGAGUUUCAUACUCUUGCUGUCCACUUCAAGUUUCUGUACAGUACACAGAAGAUUCCUCUUUUAUUUUCACUUUUCUGAGCUGUUUCCUCAAAGAAAGGUAGUAAAUUGCGAGAAGAAAGUCGAAGGGAAGAAGAAAACAAAUGAGAUACUCCACAAAGAUAAAUGUGAAAAUACAACCUGAAAUAAUUCUUAUACCCAUACAAAAUGCACAACUAAGAAACCGAAGACUUGUGCUUACUGUAUAUCCCAGGUCCCUCUUUAAUGAAGUGUAAGUAUGAGCUCUAGUGUCUGUGGAUACAUUUUAAUUAGAGAUCUUGGCUAUUGUUUAACUAUGAUAAUUUCCCCUGAGAUUUCUAUUCAGCUGAUUUCACUUCUCUUUCCCCUCAGCCCUUGCCCAGAGCUACUGGAACAUCAGUGCUAUGAUCAGAGUGUGUCCUAACAGCAGCUGCAUUUCAGUGUCCCGUCUACAUUUAAGGUUUCUGUACAUUUCCCAACUGAUUUGUGAGGGUGGUUAGGACUCAUACAAGUGCAAAGAAUUACCUUUAUCUGGAUUUAAAUAUUAUUUUAUGUUAAUUACUGGUUAUUCCUUUAAGAUAAGUAAAAUAGACGUUCGUUUUUA